AUUGAACGCUGGCGGCAUGCUUUACACAUGCAAGUCGAACGGUAACAGGGAGCUUGCUCCGCUGACGAGUGGCGAACGGGUGAGUAAUGCAUCGGAACGUACCCAGUCGUGGGGGAUAACGUAGCGAAAGUUACGCUAAUACCGCAUACGUCCUGAGGGAGAAAGCGGGGGACCGUAAGGCCUCGCGCGAUUGGAGCGGCCGAUGUCGGAUUAGCUAGUUGGUAGGGUAAAGGCCUACCAAGGCGACGAUCCGUAGCGGGUCUGAGAGGAUGAUCCGCCACACUGGGACUGAGACACGGCCCAGACUCCUACGGGAGGCAGCAGUGGGGGAAUUUUGGACAAUGGGCGAAAGCCUGAUCCAGCCAUGCCGCGUGAGCGAAGAAGG
rnacentral:rRNA from 1 species